rnacentral:rRNA from 1 species
ACCUUUGCAAUACACGAAAGUGUGACAGGGCUAUCCCGAGUGCCAUCCGCUGAGGAAGGCUUUUACCCAGUCUAGAACGCUGGGGGAAUAAGGAGAGGGCAAGUCUGGUGUCAGCCGCCGCGGUAAUACCAGCUCUCCGAGUGGUGUGGAUGUUUAUUGGGCCUAAAGCAUCCGUAGCUGGCUAGGUAAGUCCUUUGUUAAAUCCACCGAAUUAAUCGUUGGAUCGCGGGGGAUACUGCUUGGCUAGGGGACGAGAGAGGCAGACGGUAUUUUCGGGGUAGGGGUGAAAUCCUAUAAUCCCGGGAAGACCACCAGUGGCGAAGGCUGUCUGCUAGAACGCGCCCGACGGUGAGGGAUGAAAGCUGGGGGAGCGAACCGGAUUAGAUACCCGGGUAGUCCCAGCUGUAAACGAUGCAGACUAGGUGUUUGGACGGCCACGUGCCGUUCUAGUGCCGCAGGGAAGCUGUUAAGUCUGCCGCCUGGGGAGUACGAUCGCAAGAUUGAAACUUAAAGGAAUUGGCGGGGGAGCACCACAAGGGGUGAAGCUUGCGGUUUAAUUGGAGUCAACGCCGGG